UCCCUGGUGGUCCAGUGGUUAGGACUCCGAGUUUUCACUGCUGAGGGCCUGGGUUCGAUCCCUGGCCAGGAAA
rfam:TPA: Bos taurus chromosome 5, whole genome shotgun sequence.